rnacentral:rRNA from 1 species
UACGGAGGAUGCGAGCGUUAUCCGGAUUUAUUGGGUUUAAAGGGUGCGUAGGCGGACUGCCAAGUCAGCGGUAAAAUUGCGGGGCUCAACCCCGUCGAGCCGUUGAAACUGGUGGUCUUGAGUGGGCGAGAAGUACGCGGAAUGUGUGGUGUAGCGGUGAAAUGCAUAGAUAUCACGCAGAACUCCGAUUGCGAAGGCAGCGUACCGGCGCCCUACUGACGCUGAAGCACGAAAGCGUGGGUAUCGAA